ACGGGGGUCCCAAGCGUUGUUCGGAUUCACUGGGCGUAAAGAGUACGUAGGCGGCCUGUUAAGUCUGGUGUGAAAGCUCCGAGCUCAACUCGGAAAUUGCAUUGGAUACUGGCAGGCUAGAGUAUCGGAGGGGAGACUGGAAUUCUCGGUGUAGCAGUGAAAUGCGUAGAUAUCGAGAGGAACACCAGUGGCGAAGGCGAGUCUCUGGACGAUUACUGACGCUGAGGUACGAAAGUUGGGGUAGCAAACAGG
rnacentral:rRNA from 1 species